ACAUUCUUUGGGAGCUGGUUACCGCAGAAGAAAUACUUGACCAUGCCGACCACAUCUUCUUUAAUGAUGUCCCAACAUGAUUGGUAGAAAGCUCUAGUGAAACCGUCUGGACCGCCUGCUGAAUCCCCAUUCAGCCCCAUUACUGCUUUCUUCACUUCCCCAUUUGAAGGUAAGGUCAUCAAUCUCUCAUGUUGAGCAGGAUCUAUCAUUUGAGGUACAUGUUUUAAAAUAUCAAAAUCAUUGGGAAAAGACCUCUCAGAAAAUAACUCCUUGUAGAAUUUUACAGCUUCCUCUGCUAUUUUGUGAUCUUCUUCAAUCCAAUUACCAUCACUAUCCUGGAUUCUUGAUAACUUUAGUCUUUUCCUUCUCUCAUUGACCUGGGCAUGAAAAACUUUUGUGUUUCUAUCACCAUCUUUAAACCACAACAUGCCUAUUUUUUGUUUCCAGAAUAACUCUUCUAAUGCAAGAUAUUUAAGCAAUUCAGCGUGAACCUGUCGUAAUCUUUAUCUAUUUCUCUGAGUAGGAUUAAUUUCAAAUUGAUUUUCAUGAAAUAGGACCACCUCCUCUAGACUUGCAAUCUUCUUGAAAAUAUCCCCAUAUGUAGCUUUGCUCUAAGUAGACAGUGCAUGUUUAAGCUCUUUUAACUUGUAGUUAAAAUUGCUGAAAGGAUUUGCACUAACAUCACCAUUCCAGGUCUCUUUCACUACAUCUUUAAAAGAUUCAUGCUUUAUCCAAAAAUUAAGNNNNNNNNNNNNNNNNNNNNNNAUCCAGGAAAGGUCUGUUGCAGUUCAUCAUUUCCUAGACAUCUAUCUAGUCUUUUGAAUAUACAGUCCUCUUCUGAUCUUCCAUUCCACCAUGUGAAAAUACUUCCUUUGAACCCUAAAUCGUUUAAAGAACAUGAGUUUAUGCAAUGUCUGAAGUCAUCUACUUCGAGGAACGAGACUGGCAAGCCACCAAACUUCUCUUCCUCAUCCCAAAUCAUAUUAAAGUCUCCUCCGACCAGCCAUGGAACAGUAAUGUGUGAUGCCAUUGAAUAUAGAGAAUCCCAUAACUCAAUUCUUUCAAUACGAUCGCAUUUAGGAUAUACUAGCGUGAUGAUGAGCUCUGCAUGUGUUUCAUUGUGCACCAAUUUUAAAAUCAACUGUUGAGUCAAAUUAUACAAAAUAUUAACUUCAAAAUUUUCAUCAAUAAAAGCCCAAAUCUUGUUUGACACAUUCACCACAGCUUGAGCCAUACCAAUUCUUGCUCUAUAUCUCUCCAUUUUGUUAGACUGCUGCAUAGGUUCAAUUAUUCCAAUGAAUUGAAAUUGAUGUUUCUGAUGCAUUGUAACCAGCCUUUGAAAUGCUUGCUUUGUAUUUACUGAUCUAACAUUCCAGAUAAUGGCAACAAUUAGAUGUUUUUAUGUUUGGACAGAGUGCUCCUUGUUUUUACUCCCUUGGACUGUGCAUUUGAAGUCUCUUUUGACAGUUUCUUUUUUUCUUUUGCUGGAAAUUUCACAGGUUCAAUAAGCUUUGGAGACAUAUCCCCUUGCUUGGGAACAUUAAGGAAAAUUUGAGCCGUGGAUUCUUCCUCCAAAUCUACAUCUCUUAUUUCUGCG
rnacentral:lncRNA from 1 species